rnacentral:rRNA from 1 species
UCAAAAACAUUGUCUUACGCCCUCCCAUGUAAGAUAACUCCUGCCCGGUGACUAAUUGUUAAACGGCCGCGGUAUUUUGACCGUGCAAAGGUAGCAUAAUCAUUUGCCUUUUAAUUGAAGGCUUGUAUGAAUGGACUAAUAAAACUACUCUAUCUAUUUUUUAUACUAAAAAUUAUCAUUAAGGUGAAGAGACCUUAAUAGUAAUAAAAGACAAAAAGACCCUACGAGCUUAAUUUUUAAAAGAUAAUUUUCUUUAUAAAAAUUUAGUUGGGGUGACUAAGGAAUAAACUAAUCUUCCUUUAAAUAUAAUGGCUAAUAAGCCUCUAUUUAUUCUUAUUUAAAAAUACAAGUAAGCUACCGUAGGGAUAACAGGCUAAUUUACUUUAAGAGUACAAAUUGACAAGUAAGAUUGGCACCUCGAUGUUGGCUUAGGAUUCCCUGAAAUGCAAAAGUUUCAAUUGGUAAGUUUGUUCAACUUUUAAUAUCCUACGUGAUCUGA